UCCGGCGCUCCUCGGCCAUCCCCGGCACUCUGCCUAGUCACCAGGGACGUGGUGCUCCUCGCCUGCUCCAGCCAGCCCCCCGCGCCGGCUCUGGCGCUCUGCUCCGACCUCUCCCGGUGGUGCUCGCCUGCUCCGCCGGACUCUGCCACCCAGGACUUCCCGUGAACAAAUAGCAAGCUAGCUGGGAGACAGGUAAUUUCCUAAGAAAGCUCUGCCUGCCCCCUUUUGUUCUGCUGAUCAGUGUAUGAUGAAAAUUAAAUUGAAUUUGGACUGAAAAACUGUGUACGAACGUAUAUGCAAGGGACUGUGUAUAUGUAUAAUGUAUUGUUGAUUUGGAAGGGAACACAUUUUAAUAUCAAUUCCAUUUGAUCUUGUAGAAAUAGAAGGGGAAGAUAUAUUUCAUUGGUGCCCUCAACGGAAGUGUGUACGCCCGGUGUUUCAGUUGGUCUGAAUCAACUCCAGAAAUUCGAACAACCAUAGAUUGGACCACCGCCUUUGAUUUCAAACAACCCGCAUUCAAUCUCAAUCGAGAAAGUAACUCUGUUGUAUCCCAUACUGUUUUUUGAAGUUUUUGGCAUCUUUUUAUCAAUUUUUUGUUGUAUGAUUAAGAAUUUUGUGAUCAUUGGCCUUUUUUUACCUUCUGUUGUACCUUGAUUUUUGUAUAUGGUGCUUAUUUGAGAUGCUCACAAGAUCAUCAAUAACAUGAUGAUAUAAAUCAGGGGAGUUAACAUAGUUGUUUAUUAAAGCGCCCUAUAAUAUGGUUUUUAUGCUUAGUUUGGAUACUUAGAUAGUCCAACAAUCUUAGUAGUUGCAGAAGGAAAUAAGUCCCUAUAGCGAUUAGAAAGAAAA
rnacentral:lncRNA from 1 species